rnacentral:rRNA from 1 species
UGGGGAAUUUUGGACAAUGGGGGAAACCCUGAUCUAGCCAUCCCGCGUGUGCGAUGAAGGCCUUCGGGUUGUAAAGCACUUUUGGCAGGAAAGAAACGUCAUGGGUUAAUACCCCGUGAAACUGACGGUACCUGCAGAAUAAGCACCGGCUAACUACGUGCCAGCAGCCGCGGUAAUACGUAGGGUGCAAGCGUCAAUCGGAAUUACUGGGCGUAGAGCGUGCGCAGGCGGUUCGGAAAGAAAGAUGUGAAAUCCCAGAGCUCAACUUUGGAACUGCAUUUUUAACUACCGAGAUAAAGGGUGUCGGGGGGAGGUGGAAUUCCGCGUGUAGCAAUGAAAUGCGUAGAAGUGCGGAAGAACACCGUUGACGAAGGCAGCCGCCUGGGAUAACACUGACGCUCAUGCACGAAGGCGUGGGGAGCAAACAGA